rnacentral:hammerhead_ribozyme from 1 species
AUCCAGAUGACGAGUUCCAAAUAGGACAAUUGAAAUGCGCAUCCUGGAU